rnacentral:rRNA from 1 species
CCAAUAGCGUAUAUUAAAGUUGUUGCAGUUAAAAAGCUCGUAGUUGAAUUUCGGGGUUAGUAGGUUGGUCAUGCCUCUGGUAUGUACUGGUCUCACUGAUUCCUCCUUCCUGAUGAACCGUAAUGCCAUUAAUUUGGUGUUGCGGGGAAUUUGGACUGUUACUUUGAAAAAAUUAGAGUGUUUAAAGCAGGCAUUUUGCUUGAAUACAUUAGCAUGGAAUAAUAAAAUAGGACGGAUGAUUCUAUUUUGUUGGUUUCUAGGACCACCGUAAUGAUUAAUAGGGAUAGUUGGGGGCAUUAGUAUUCAAUUGUCAGAGGUGAAAUUCUUGGAUUUAUUGAUGACUAACUACUGCGAAAGCAUUUGCCAAGGAUGUUUUCAUUAAUCAAGAACGAAAGUUAGGGGAUCGAAGACGAUCAGAUACCGUCGUAGUCUUAACCAUAAACUAUGCCGACUAGGAAUCAGACGAUGUUAAUUUUUUAAUGACUCGUUUGGCACCUUACG